CAUUAAGAAGCUAUGCCACAGCACUAGCCUUUUAAGCUAGAGAAAGAGGAUCACUCACCCCUCCUUAAUGA
rnacentral:tRNA from 1 species